GGAAAGGCGCGCGAUACAGGGUGACAGCCCCGUACACAAAAAUGCACAUGCUGUGAGCUCGAUGAGUAGGGCGGGACACGUGGUAUCCUGUCUGAAUAUGGGGGGACCAUCCUCCAAGGCUAAAUACUCCUGACUGACCGAUAGUGAACCAGUACCGUGAGGGAAAGGCGAAAAGAACCCCGGCGAGGGGAGUGAAAAAGAACCUGAAACCGUGUACGUACAAGCAGUGGGAGCACAGAGCAAUCUGUGUGACUGCGUACCUUUUGUAUAAUGGGUCAGCGACUUAUAUUCUGUAGCAAGGUUAACCGAAUAGGGGAGCCGAAGGGAAACCGAGUCUUAACUGGGCGUUAAGUUGCAGGGUAUAGACCCGAAACCCGGUGAUCUAGCCAUGGGCAGGUUGAAGGUUGGGUAACACUAACUGGAGGACCGAACCGACUAAUGUUGAAAAAUUAGCGGAUGACUUGUGGCUGGGGGUGAAAGGCCAAUCAAACCGGGAGAUAGCUGGUUCUCCCCGAAAGCUAUUUAGGUAGCGCCUCGUGAAUUCAUCUCCGGGGGUAGAGCACUGUUUCGGCAAGGGGGUCAUCCCGACUUACCAACCCGAUGCAAACUGCGAAUACCGGAGAAUGUUAUCACGGGAGACACACGGCGGGUGCUAACGUCCGUCGUGAAGAGGGAAACAACCCAGACCGCCAGCUAAGGUCCCAAAGUCAUGGUUAAGUGGGAAACGAUGUGGGAAGGCCCAGACAGCCAGGAUGUUGGCUUAGAAGCAGCCAUCAUUUAAAGAAAGCGUAAUAGCUCACUGGUCGAGUCGGCCUGCGCGGAAGAUGUAACGGGGCUAAACCAUGCACCGAAGCUGCGGCAGCGACGCUGAUGCGUUGUUGGGUAGGGGAGCGUUCUGUAAGCCUGUGAAGGUGUGCUGUGAGGCAUGCUGGAGGUAUCAGAAGUGCGAAUGCUGACAUAAGUAACGAUAAAGCGGGUGAAAAGCCCGCUCGCCGGAAGACCAAGGGUUCCUGUCCAACGUUAAUCGGGGCAGGGUGAGUCGACCCCUAAGGCGAGGCCGAAAGGCGUAGUCGAUGGGAAACAGGUUAAUAUUCCUGUACUUGGUGUUACUGCGAAGGGGGGACGGAGAAGGCUAUGUUGGCCGGGCGACGGUUGUCCCGGUUUAAGCGUGUAGGCUGGUUUUCCAGGCAAAUCCGGAAAACUAAGGCUGAGGCGUGAUGACGAGGCACUACGGUGCUGAAGCAACAAAUGCCCUGCUUCCAGGAAAAGCCUCUAAGCAUCAGGUAACAUCAAAUCGUACCCCAAACCGACACAGGUGGUCAGGUAGAGAAUACCAAGGCGCUUGAGAGAACUCGGGUGAAGGAACUAGGCAAAAUGGUGCCGUAACUUCGGGAGAAGGCACGCUGAUAUGUAGGUGAAGUCCCUCGCGGAUGGAGCUGAAAUCAGUCGAAGAUACCAGCUGGCUGCAACUGUUUAUUAAAAACACAGCACUGUGCAAACACGAAAGUGGACGUAUACGGUGUGACGCCUGCCCGGUGCCGGAAGGUUAAUUGAUGGGGUCAGCGCAAGCGAAGCUCUUGAUCGAAGCCCCGGUAAACGGCGGCCGUAACUAUAACGGUCCUAAGGUAGCGAAAUUCCUUGUCGGGUAAGUUCCGACCUGCACGAAUGGCGUAAUGAUGGCCAGGCUGUCUCCACCCGAGACUCAGUGAAAUUGAACUCGCUGUGAAGAUGCAGUGUACCCGCGGCAAGACGGAAAGACCCCGUGAACCUUUACUAUAGCUUGACACUGAACAUUGAGCCUUGAUGUGUAGGAUAGGUGGGAGGCUUUGAAGUGUGGACGCCAGUCUGCAUGGAGCCGACCUUGAAAUACCACCCUUUAAUGUUUGAUGUUCUAACGUUGACCCGUAAUCCGGGUUGCGGACAGUGUCUGGUGGGUAGUUUGACUGGGGCGGUCUCCUCCUAAAGAGUAACGGAGGAGCACGAAGGUUGGCUAAUCCUGGUCGGACAUCAGGAGGUUAGUGCAAUGGCAUAAGCCAGCUUGACUGCGAGCGUGACGGCGCGAGCAGGUGCGAAAGCAGGUCAUAGUGAUCCGGUGGUUCUGAAUGGAAGGGCCAUCGCUCAACGGAUAAAAGGUACUCCGGGGAUAACAGGCUGAUACCGCCCAAGAGUUCAUAUCGACGGCGGUGUUUGGCACCUCGAUGUCGGCUCAUCACAUCCUGGGGCUGAAGUAGGUCCCAAGGGUAUGGCUGUUCGCCAUUUAAAGUGGUACGCGAGCUGGGUUUAGAACGUCGUGAGACAGUUCGGUCCCUAUCUGCCGUGGGCGCUGGAGAACUGAGGGGGGCUGCUCCUAGUACGAGAGGACCGGAGUGGACGCAUCACUGGUGUUCGGGUUGUCAUGCCAAUGGCACUGCCCGGUAGCUAAAUGCGGAAGAGAUAAG
rnacentral:rRNA from 1 species